AGGUCGAGGCCAGCAUCGGUUUCCGUAGGGGGAUAAAAACUUUAGGAAUGUGGCUCUUCGGAGUGUUAUAGCCUAUUGUAUAAUACCCUUAUGGGGACCGAGGUACGCGCUCUGCAAGGAUGCUGGCGUAAUGGUCAUCAACGA
rnacentral:rRNA from 1 species